AAAUCUAGAUAGCUCAAAUAGAGCGUUACAUUGAAGCUGUAAAAGUGGGUUGCCUCUGGAUA
rnacentral:tRNA from 1 species